rnacentral:rRNA from 1 species
GUAGUCCACGCCGUAAACGAUGUCGACUUGGAGGUUGUGCCCUUGAGGCGUGGCUUCCGGAGCUAACGCGUUAAGUCGACCGCCUGGGGAGUACGGCCGCAAGGUUAAAACUCAAAUGAAUUGACGGGGGCCCGCACAAGCGGUGGAGCAUGUGGUUUAAUUCGAUGCAACGCGAAGAACCUUACCUGGCCUUGACAUCCAGAGAACUUAGCAGAGAUGCUUUGGUGCCUUCGGGAACUCUGAGACAGGUGCUGCAUGGCUGUCGUCAGCUCGUGUUGUGAAAUGUUGGGUUAAGUCCCGCAACGAGCGCAACCCUUAUCCUUUGUUGCCAGCGGCUCGGCCGGGAACUCAAAGGAGACUGCCGGUGAUAAACCGGAGGAAGGUGGGGAUGACGUCAAGUCAUCAUGGCCCUUACGGCCAGGGCUACACACGUGCUACAAUGGCGCAUACAAAGAGAAGCGACCUCGCGAGAGCAAGCGGACCUCAUAAAGUGCGUCGUAGUCCGGAUUGGAGUCUGCAACUCGACUCCAUGAAGUCGGAAUCGCUAGUAAUCGUAGAUCAGAAUGCUACGGUGAAUACGUUCCCGGGCCUUGUACACACCGCCCGUCACACCAUGGGAGUGGGUUGCAAAAGAAGUAGGUAGCUUAACCUUCGGGAGGGCGCUUACCACUUUGUGAUUCAUGACUGGGGUG